UGACGGGUAACGGGGAAUUAGGGUUCGAUUCCGGAGAGGGAGCCUGAGAAACGGCUACCACAUCUAAGGAAGGCAGCAGGCGCGCAAAUUACCCAAUCCUAAUACAGGGAGGUAGUGACAAGAAAUAACAAUACAGGACUUAAUUGUUUUGUAAUUGGAAUGAGUUAAGUAUAAACCCCUUUACAAGUAUCAAUUGGAGGGCAAGUCUGGUGCCAGCAGCCGCGGUAAUUCCAGCUCCAAUAGCGUAUAUUAAAGUUGUUGCAGUUAAAAAGCUCGUAGUUGGAUUUCUGUUAAUAUUUUAUAUUAUUAAUUAUUAUUAUUAAUAUAAUAUUAACAUAAUUCAUAUUACUUUUUUUAAGUAUAUGAAAUUUUACUUUGAGAAAAUUAGAGUGCUUAAAGCAGGCUUUUGCCUUGAAUACUCCAGCAUGGAAUAAUAUUAAAGAUUUUUAUCUUUCUUAUUGGUUCUAAGAUAGAAAUAAUGAUUAAUAGGG
rnacentral:rRNA from 1 species